rnacentral:rRNA from 1 species
ACGAGUGACGCAUAUAUCGCCUGCCACCGAGUAAUGCGGGACUAUUAAUCGAAAUAGCUAAUACCGCGCAUAUUCUCUGAUGAAUGACAGCUGUUACCUUCGGGCCUUGGCUUCUUCACCCGAUCGACCUCCGAUUAAUUAGCUGGUGGGGGGGGGGCCUACUCACCCGACCAACAAUACCUAGCCUAACUGAAAGAUCCACCGCACUGGCUGUGACAGACACCCCACACUCAUUCCUACGGCAGGCAUGGGUAAGUUUGCAUCAUGGAUGCACGCCUGACUCACCCAUGCCCCGCGCCUGAGUAAAGACUGCUUUCUGAUCAGGACUUUCGGCUGGAAAAAAAAAGCUAGUGUGAAAACCCCUGUCUGAUGACGUGACCUGAUCAUACCACACCGGGACACUUCACUACAUCCCCCCCGCCGCUACAUUACGUGCGUCCCGUAGCGCUGACCUGCUGUAUUGAACGCAAAGCGCAGAGCGGUUAGUUAAGAUAGAUCUGAAAUCACCGGCUGUCGACCUAACCAAUGCGUUCUUUAGCAAACUGUUUAACUUGAGUGCAAGAGGAGAUAGAGUAACUCCUUGAGCUAGCGAAAUGAAUGCAUAAUAUUUAUGAAUAACCCACCGGCUGACGCAAGCCUCCUCGGCGAGAAUACUGACUGUUCCCUGCCACCCACACGCAUGCGUGGGGAAACAAGACAUGAAUAACCCACGCCUAGUCCC